AACGAACGCUGGCGGCAUGCCUAACACAUGCAAGUCGAACGAUGCCUUCGGGCUUAGUGGCGCUCGGGUGCGUAACGCGUGGGAAUUUGCCCUUCGGUUAGGUAUAAUUCAGGGUAACUUGAGCUAAUACCGGUUAACGUCGUAACACAAAAGAUCUCUCACCGAAAGAUGAGCCCGCGUAGGAUUCGCCGGUUGGUGAGGUAAAGGCUCACCUAGGCGACGAUCCUUAGCUGGUCUGUGCGGAUGAUCAGCCACACUGGAACUGAGACACGGCCCAGACUCCUACGGAAGAGAGCGGUAGAGAGUAUUAGGGGAUGAACGAUGGCCUAGUCCAGCAAUGCCGCGUAAGUGAUGAAGGCCUUAGUGUUGUAAAGCUCUUUUACCCGAAGAGAUAAUGACGGUACCGGGUGAAUAAGCCCCGGCUAACUCCGUG
rnacentral:rRNA from 1 species